GAAUGGAAAACACUUGGACAAUCGGUGGCUAAUUGAUUUACGAGGAACUGCAACACGUGUUUACACAACUCCGGAUGAAUCCAACCCCGUCGCGGAAGGAACAAGGACCCCGUCACUCCGCCAAGUUCCGUACAAGUUUGUGCAAUUUGUCACAAUAUGUGUCACAUUAGCCACAGCAAUUGUGCUUAAACGUCACCGUCUCGCCGGGUAUCCGGUUUUUGUGCCUCCUCCCCGGAUGUCGUCAUCGUCGUCAGGGCCGCUAACCAGAUUAAACCCCAAUCGCGACACCGAUACGGCCAAGGAUAUCCUUACGGUCCUCGAAGGGGAUGUUUGUGGUAGGGGUCGCUGAAAAAGUGGGCAAACAAAGAGCCGGGACUCAACCACCGUUGAGCCAACUGCCACCACCACCACCACUAUCACCACUACCACCAUCAUCAUCGGCGAGGAAUCUGCACGCACCCCAUUUCCCUUGCAGGAUAUCCGUGUAAGUCGUUUGCAGAUACACGCAUUAACUGUGGCCGUAAAAAAGAGAUUCAGUGUCCGCAUCAUUAAUCAAAAGCGGACAAGGCCAAACAAGUGCAUUGCGCAUUCCGAAAAAACUGCCCUCGAGAAUGACGAAGCGAUGUCCUGGAAGUCCUUUCUGCAGUGUCCUUUUGCCAUUGAGAGCACCACUUGCACCACCUUCAACCACGUGCUCCUCCGCUGAAUGAUCCUUUUCCGCUCGUUAAUGUGUGAAUUACACAAUUAAUUACUGUGACUGCUAUGGAUGGUAAAGUUAUUCAAAUGCUCUUUCACUUGAGAGGGCACUUUUUUCAUGGAUUUCAAUAUUCCUAAAAUAAAUAACUUGGCAAUGACUAC
ensembl:ncRNA lncRNA:CR45658 long non-coding RNA:CR45658